GCAUAAAGGGCAUCUAGGCGGCCUUUCAAGUCAGGGGUGAAAACCUGCGGCUCAACCGCAGGCCUGCCUUUGAAACUGAUAGGCUGGAGUACCGGAGAGGUGGACGGAACUGCACGAGUAGAGGUGAAAUUCGUAGAUAUGUGCAGGAAUGCCGAUGAUGAAGAUAGUUCACUGGACGGCAACUGACGCUGAAGUGCGAAAGCUGGGGGAGCGAACAGGAUUAGAUACCCUGGUAGUCCUAGCUGUAAACGAUGAUUACUGGGUGUGGGCAUGAAGAGUGUCCGUGCCGAAGCAAAUGCGAUAAGUAAUCCGCCGUGAGAUGUUGGGUUAAGUCCCGCAACGAGCGCAACCCCUGUUGCUAGUUACCAUCAUUAAGUUGGGGACUCUAGCAAGACUGCCUGCGAAGAGCAGGAGGAAGGUGGGGAUGACGUCAAGUCAUCAUGCCCCUUAUGAUCUGGGCUACACACGUGCUACAAUGGGCUGUACAGAGAGGAGCGAGGCGGUGACGCGGAGCGAAUCUUGAAAGCAGUUCGAAGUUCGGAUUGAAGUCUGCAACUCGACUU
rnacentral:rRNA from 1 species